GACGAACGCUGGCGGCGUGCCUAACACAUGCAAGUCGAGCGGAGUCGAUCGACGGAAGCCUUCGGGCGGAAGAUGGUUGACUUAGCGGCGGAUGGGUGAGUAACGCGUGGGCAACCUGCCUCGAAGACCGGGAUAACAGCCCGAAAGGGCUGCUAAUACCGGAUGUGGUCAAGGAUCCGCAUGGAUUUUUGAUUAAAGGGGAAACCCGUUUCGAGAUGGGCCCGCGUCCUAUCAGCUAGUUGGUGAGGUAAAAGCUCACCAAGGCGACGACGGGUAGCCGGCCUGAGAGGGUGACCGGCCACACUGGAACUGAGACACGGUCCAGACUCCUACGGGGGGCAGCAGUGGGGAAUCUUCCACAAUGGGCAAAGCCUGAUGGAGCGACGCCGCGUGAGCGAAGAAGGCCUUCGGGUUGUAAAGCUCUGUCUGGAGGGACGAAGGAAGUGACGGUACCUCCGGAGGAAGCCACGGCAACUACGUG
rnacentral:rRNA from 1 species